rnacentral:rRNA from 1 species
AAACCCAGUGUGACUCGUCACACUAUCAUUAACUGAAUCCAUAGGUUAAUGAGGCGAACCGGGGGAACUGAAACAUCUAAGUACCCCGAGGAAAAGAAAUCAACCGAGAUUCCCCCAGUAGCGGCGAGCGAACGGGGAGGAGCCCAGAGCCUGAAUCAGCAUGUGUGUUAGUGGAAGCGUCUGGAAAGGCGCGCGAUACAGGGUGACAGCCCCGUACACAAAAGCGCAUGUGCUGUGAGCUCGAUGAGUAGGGCGGGACACGUGGUAUCCUGUCUGAAUAUGGGGGGACCAUCCUCCAAGGCUAAAUACUCCUGACUGACCGAUAGUGAACCAGUACCGUGAGGGAAAGGCGAAAAGAACCCCGGCGAGGGGAGUGAAAAAGAACCUGAAACCGUGUACGUACAAGCAGUGGGAGCACCCUUUG